UCUGAUCCGUGGAUCGGGACUCCCAGCCGUCCGCCCUGACACACCUUCCCCGGUGUCAGGUCGCAUGGAUGGGGAUCCGGACCCGCGGCCCAGGAGAC
rfam:Curtobacterium sp. MCBA15_008 MCBA15_008_contig_31, whole genome shotgun sequence.